GCCGGGGUGGCGAAACUGGUAAACGCAGGGGACUUAAAAUCCCCCGCCUCUCGCGAGGCAUGCGGGUUCGACUCCCGCCCCCGGCA
rnacentral:tRNA from 1 species